AUUGAACGCUGGCGGCAUGCCUAACACAUGCAAGUCGAACGGCAGCACGGCAGUAGCAAUACUGUGGGUGGCGAGUGGCGGACGGGUGAGGAAUACGUCGGAAUCUGCCCAGUCGUGGGGGAUAACUAGCCGAAAGGUUAGCUAAUACCGCAUACGACCGAGAGGUGAAAGCGGGGGACCGGCAAGGCCUCGCGCGAUUGGAUGAGCCGACGUCGGAUUAGCUAGUUGGUGGGGUAAAGGCCCACCAAGGCGACGAUCCGUAGCUGGUCUGAGAGGAUGAUCAGCCACACUGGAACUGAGACACGGUCCAGACUCCUACGGGAGGCAGCAGUGGGGAAUAUUGGACAAUGGGCGCAAGACCUGAUCCAGCAAUGCCGCGUGUGUGAAGAAGGACCUGCGGGUUGUAAAGCACUUUUGUUUCGGGUAAGAAAGUACAUGUCGGUUAA
rnacentral:rRNA from 1 species